CCACGUUCCGAGGGGUGUCCUCCAUACGGGAGGGCUGAGAUGAUCCGCGAGGCGGGUCGAACCCUUCGAACCUGAUCCGGGUCAUACCGGCGAAGGGACGGAACCUCAUGGCCAG
rnacentral:ncRNA from 1 species